UCCGGGAGGGGGCGGGCGAAGCGCCGCCUCGGGCCCGGCCGCUAAUUGGCUGCUGACCAGAGCCCCCUGCGCCACGGGCGCCGCUCGGGACGCCGAUUGGUGAAUCUGGGGGAGGGGCGUGCCCUGCCGGAGCUACUGGGAGGGGAGGGCGAGAUAGGGGGAGAGCAGAGGAGCGGAGGGGAGAGGAGGGGCGGCUGCCGGGACCCGCCUUCGCCCGAGCGCUGUGCCUCGGGUUGGGAACAGGUGACCAGGCCUGGGUCUGCCUCGGCCGGGUGGCGAGAUUCGCCGAGGAAGCGAAUGAAGAAAAUGAGAGCCAGAGAAGAGAAGGAUUUCUUCAAGGUCACACGGUGAAUAUGUCACAGCCAGAACUAGAACUCAGGUCCCUUCACGAAUGGCUUGGUGGCUUUCCUGUUACACAUGGACCCCGAAGGUCCUUCAUGUUGCACACGAGUGUGCUUUCAGCCAGAAUUUUGUGGUGCUCAGUGGAAGUCUGGAGCCUGUAUGUUUCUUCAUCUCUCACCACUGCACCGGUUGGCCCCACCCUCAGAUCAAACAGCAUGAUGGCCCUGGAGAGAUGAGCUGGAGUAGAUGAGGCAGGUGAAUGGUGCUGUGUGAUGUCUGCUCUGUUUUUCUCUUUGUCUCAGCUCAGGCUGCUGUGAUAGCAAGAUACCAGAGACUGGGUAGCUUAUAAACAACAGAAAUUUAUUUCACUGUUCUGGAGGCUGAAAGUCCAAGAUCAAGGCACCAACAGAUUGGGCGUCUGGCUUACAGAUGGUCAUUUUCUCCCUGUGUCCUCACAUGGCCUCUUUUAUAAGGGCACUAAUCCCCUUCAUGAGGGCCCCACCCUCAUGACCUAAUCAUCUCCCAAAGGCCCUGCCUCCUAAUGCCAUCACAUUGGGGAUUAGGUUUCAAUUUAUCAAUUUGGGGAGAACAGAAACAUUCAGUCUACAGCAUUCUCCUUCUCAGCUACUCUUUGGGAUCACAGCUGUCCCACACCCCUUCCCUCCACUCUCCUCCAUCUCCCCUAGUAAGUCCUGCCCAACUAUCAAGGCCAGCUCACAUGCCACCUCGUCAGUGAGGGCUUUGGCGCUUGACUGGGGAAGUGAGUUUCAUCCGCAUGCUUUCCCACGCUCCUUCCUUGAGUUCCUCUGGAGAACUCGCUCAUGUUAUGUGGUUUGGUGGGGCUGUCAAUCAUAGCACUGCCCCUGCCAGAGGCAUGGGCACACAACAAGGGCUGAUAAAUCAGAGGAUCCAACCUCACUGGCCACAGAGAUUGGAUCAGUGAUGGGUAUGUGACUCAGAUAGGACCAAUCAGAUUCCUCCCUGAGACUCAUAUGCAAAAAUUGCAAGAGAGAAGCGUUCUUUUUGCUGUCCUUGCUUACCUGUGUGUGAUGCUAUGAGUCUGUAGCAACUGGCGGCCAUCUUGCUUGCAUCAAAAGAGCACUUUUAGAAGAAGACCAUAUACAGGCAGAGGCUGAAUGACACCAUUGCUUCAGCAUCUGCAUUCAGCUAUACCUGAAGCAGAUACUCCUGCCUUCCCAGUUAGGUGAGCCAGUAAAUCCUCUUUUUGUUUGAGCUGGUUUGAAAUGGGGUUCUCCUCCUUGCAUCUGAAGGACACCUGACCAGUAUAACUUCCCUGACACCCCCUGGUGUCCCCUACCAUGUCAUUCUUUAGAGUUAGUAAUUCAUACUCCUGUGCUGCAUUGUUGCCGCUUGCUACUGUCCUCCUCCUCAGUAGGACCUCCCUGCUCCUUUUUCCGCCCACAGCUCUGAGACCAUAUAUCAUUAAAAUUAGUGAAGGGUGAUUGAGUGAAUCGGGGAGGGAUGAGUGCAUAACGGCCACCUUGACACCCUUUUGGCAGCUGCUAACACUUCUACUAAGGAUAAGCUGGGUCUGAACUUACCCUGCAAGGAGACUUGAAGAAAACAAACAGUUAGUCAGCCCCACCAGCCAACAUUCCUACUUCAGGAAUGAGGCUGGGCUUGGGCAGUGCCUUGAUGAUCCAGUUCUGACCUGCCAGUGGCUUAGAGAACAGACAGAACUGUUUCCGGAGGAAUAAGAGAGCCCGAAGCCAUAGCACUGGCACUUGUCAGGGACAGAGCUGCCAUCAGAGCACUUCUUGGCCCCUUGGAGGGUAGUCAGGAGCUGGCUAGGAGGUCAGAGGCAGGACCCCUUGAGAUGCUGGAGCCACAAUGAAGACAGGGGUCCAUUUGGAAUGGAUGGAUGGAAAGCUGACUUCCUGCCAGGAAUCUUAACCAUGCAUAGUCUCAGCUCUUGGGGAAAAGUUCAGAUUUAUUUAGUGUGAUGCAACCCUGGGACAUAGGCACUGUUUUCCAUGUGGCUGCAAGAAUAAAAGUUAUGAUGGAUUUUUAAAAAAAUGGAAUCAAAUGAUCAACAUGUUUCCAGGUCUGCAACUUGUAGAAAGCUUGGUGGACAGUUGAAGAAAUGUUUCCCUAUAAUAAAUUAGAAAGUGUUUUAUUUUCCUUCAGCUAAUCUUUCAUAAUAAUUUCGAUUGUGGCAUGGGAAGGCAGGAUUCUUUUAAAUAAUUCUUCCCUGAAACAUAACAUCUGCCGGUCCCAAACUGCCAGAAAGGACCAUUGAUUACUAUGAAAUAGAUGAAGAUUAGAUAUUAAUUCUACAAUUUGCCCAUAUUUUAUUUUCAUCUGUGGAUGGCAUCCCCUCCUUAUGCUGGCUCUCGAGAAAAUACCAUGAUUGUGACUUAGGUAUGCAGUAAGUCCAUGGAUGGUGGUUGUAGCAAAAACAUGGACAGCACGAAAGGCAAAUCCAUAUUUAAAUACUCUAUUCCAAUGAGAAAAAAAUGGCCGCUCCUUCCACGAUGGAAGUGAUCCAAUGUAAUCAACUUGCCACCAGAUCACUAGCUGGUCCCCUUGGGGAGAGGAGACAUUGUAACCAUAUGAGCCUUAAAGAGUGGAAGUCCGCAUUGUUGAGCUCAUGCAUAUUUUCCAUUCAUCAAAGUGCCAUAGCCACUUGGGUUGAUGUUCAGAGGCAGUGUUCAGUAAUCUCUAAAAGUCUAGUUAUUUCCCCUUCUCUAAAGCAAAACCUGGUAACCUGCUGGAAGACUAUUUUAGGGUAGCAGAGUUCUUUCUAAAGGGGACUGUGGCAGAUUGUUUUUUCCAAACAUGGCUCUGUUGAGUGUAGUUCAUCUCACGUGUUUUUCUUUAUGAUAUGCUGUUGAGAUUACUCCACUGAGUGGUAGGGCCUAUGAUCUCUUUCUCUAAAUAUGGGCUGGUCUUAGUUCUAAAACACAGAACAUGGCUGUAAUAGUAAAUUUUAUGUGCCAGUGUAACUCUGCUAAGGGAAUGCCAGAUACCUGGUAAAACAUUAUUUCUGGGUGUGUCUGUGAGGGUGUCUCUGGAAGAGAUUAGCAAUUGAAUUGGUGAACUGAGUAAAUCAGAUGGUCCUCCCCAGUUUGGGUGGGCAAUUGCCAAUCUGCUGACGGUCUAGAUAGACGGCCUAGGGCGAAUUCUCUCUGCUUAAACUGAGACAUCCAUUUUUUCUUGCCCUUAGACAUCAAUGCUCCUGGUUCUUGGGCAUUCAGACUCACAUCAGGGUUUACACCAUUAGCUGCCCCCACCCCUCUCUGCCUCCAUUCUUAGGCCUCUGGACUCAGACUGAAUUAUACUACUGGAUUUCCUGUUUCUGCAGCUUGCAGAUGGCAGAUCGUGGGACUUCUCAGCCUCUAUAACCAUGUGAGGCAAUUUCUAUAAUAAAUCUCCGCUUCUAUCUAUCUAUAUAUAUCCUAUUGGUUCUGUUUCUCUAGAGAACCCUGACUAAUACAAUGGCAGUAGUGAUGGUUGGCAUGAGGCUAGGUUAAAAAAAGCAAUACAGUUUCCAUAUGGUUCUCUCUCUUUCUCUUUUUCCUUCUCUGUCUCUCUCUCUCUUUCUCUCCACACACACACACACAGCACACAUACACACACAAUACAUGAAUAUAUAUACAUAUCACACACAUAUAUGCACAUCACACACAUGCACACGUAUAUGCAUGACAUGUGCCUUGGGAAUUCUGAGCCAACCUAUAAGAAGUCUACCAGCUAUCCUGAAACUGCCAUUCUGGACAGACCACAUGUGAAGUUUCCAUAUAGAGAGAGAUGGUUGAGGGGCCCAGUUGUUCCAGUCCUUGGCUGUUUGCGUCCUCUGAGCUUUAACAGCCAGACAUCUGGAUGAGACUUCAGAUGAUUUCAGCCCCCAGCCUUUCAGUUGCCCAGCUGAUGCCAAGUAGAAUAGAGAUGAGCUAUUUCCACUGAGCCCUGACCAAAAUGCAGAUUUAUGAGCAGAAUAAAUGAUGUUUUAAGCACCAA